AUGUGGGUUAAGUCCGCACGAGCGCAACCCUCGUCCUUAGUUGCCAUCAUUAAGUUGGGCACUUUAAGGAAACUGCCGGUGAUAAGCCGGAGGAAGGUGGGGAUGACGUCAAGUCCUCAUGGCCCUUACAGGCUGGGCUACACACGUGCUACAAUGGCAUCUACAGUGGGCAGCUAUUCCGCAAGGAUGCGCUUAAUCUCCAAAAGAUGUCUCAGUUCGGAUUGUCCUCUGCAACUCGAGGGCAUGAAGGCGGAAUCGCUAGUAAUCGCGGAUCAGCAUGCCGCGGUGAAUACGUUCCCAGGCUUU
rnacentral:rRNA from 1 species